GGUGAACAAAAAAAAGAAAAUCUUGUACAACUUGCCCUUGAGGCCAAGCCAAGUCCAUAGCAUUUGCCAUGAUCACACCCUUCAGGACCCUGAGAAGAGCCAGGCCUGUACUGAGGAGUCUUCCCACUGUGGGGGUCAUAGGAAGGGAAAAGCUAGGAAGUGGGAGAAGAAAACACAUUUGGCCUUAAGAUAGUGUUCAUUCUCCCAAAGCCACAGUAAGGAGAUGACAGAUCAUAGUCAGCAGAUUAUUAAUUCGAAUGGGUAUGUAAGAGAAUCCUUUAAGCAUCAUUUUUCAAAGACCACC
rnacentral:lncRNA from 1 species